rnacentral:rRNA from 1 species
GACGAACGCUGGCGGCGUGCCUAAUACAUGCAAGUAGAACGCACAGUUUAUACCGUAGCUUGCUACACCAUAAACUGUGAGUUGCGAACGGGUGAGUAACGCGUAGGUAACCUGCCUGGUAGCGGGGGAUAACUAUUGGAAACGAUAGCUAAUACCGCAUAAUAUUGAUUAUUGCAUGAUAAUUGAUUGAAAUAUGCUAUUGCAUCACUACCAGAUGGACCUGCGUUGUAUUAGCUAGUAUGUGAGGUAACGGCUCACCUAGGCGACGAUACAUAGCCGACCUGAGAGGGUGAUCGGCCACACUGGGAAUGGGACACGGCCCAGACUCCUACGGGAGGCAGCAGUAGGGAAUCUUCGGCAAUGGACGAAAGUCUGACCGAGCAACGCCGCGUGAGUGAAGAAGGUUUUCGGAUCGUAAAGCUCUGUUGUAAGAGAAGAACGGGUGUGAGAGUGGAAAGUUCACACUGUGACGGUAUCUUACCAGAAAGGGACGGCUAACUACGUG